rnacentral:lncRNA from 1 species
AGUUCAAUGCGAGCUGAGCAGACAGGGCUGCAAGGAAAUCUGGCGCGGUUCAAUACCUCGUCUAGCCUGGGUUCCAGUAUCUAAUUUUUUUUUUGUUUUAACUGACAAACUCAUUUCUCUACUGGGACAGGAUGCUGUGCUGGCUGGAAGUUCCAUUUCUACAGCAAGAAUCCUAUCUGGAAACACAGAAGUUGUCCUCUAGCCACAGCAGCUCGAACUUUUUUGAUUGUCGUUGCUGCUUUCUCCCAUCACCCCCAUCCCCUUUUGACAAAGAUCCAACUGUAAAAAGUCUUACGUAACAGUUCAGGACUACUUCGGUUCUUUUACUGGGUAAGCACUUUCAAUUUUUUUUUUUUAACUAAAAGCCAUUUUAAAAUUGAAUCUGUUGAGGGGCUUGACUAAAAUCUUUUAAGUAAUUUGUGUAAUGGAAUACUGUCAGUGGAUUUUUUCGUCUCAUUUCUGCACGUGCUCCUUUGUUCUCAGAACAGAAGCUUUUUAUACACAUCCCAUAACGCAGCUGGAGAGAGUUAUGAAGUCAGUUAUUAUAAGGAACACAAAGGUUGCUUUCCAUUCUUUGCCUUUAGAUAAUUAAUUUUUUUGUUUUCUUAAAAUGGAGUAUUUAAAGAAGGAAGAAAUUCACAAGAAAUAAACUGUUGGAGAAUUUAGAAAAGUUUGAAGUUUUUACCACCUUUUCUAUCUCUAGUUUUGUGUGGCCAAACACUUGUGCCGCCUGGGGCGGUGGGGGUAGAGGCAAGCAUAGACAGAGAGGAACUAAGCCAGACAUGGACAAAGGCACGAGCCAAAACCAGACAGUCCUGGCCGUUCGAUAGGCCAGCAGUGGGUGAGACAGGUCAGCCAGCUGCAGGGGCGGGAGCGGGGGGGCGGGUAGGGACAUGGAUGUGUGAGGUGCUCAUGCGUGCGAUCGUGACUAGAUUCUGAAACUGCCAGCCAUUUUCCCAGCUCCGCUUUGUGCAAUCUAAAGGAAUGCAUCCCCUCUGAAGCAGUCUUGCCAGAGCCUAGUGAGGGAGAGAAGUAUGGUAAAUACCACAACAUAUGGAAUCAGAAAAUACCGGGAACUGGAGUGGGCAAGGGGGAAUGCAGAGGGUGUGGAAAUUUUUUAGUGAUCUGGAAUGUGUUGAGUGACAGGAAGUGCCCCAAGCUUCUCCCCCACCAACUCUUCUCAGUCGCGCCUGCUUUUGUCUAACUCUUGUAAUCUACACACUACUGCUUACAAAGCUGUCUGAGUUUAAGACAAAAAGAAACCUAAAAGUCUCCUUACUUCAUAGUACCUGUGAUAUGGAAGGAAUGUAAAAGCAUGACCCUUUAAGCCUAUGGACAUUUUUUCAGGUAUACAGGAGAAAGAUAAAAUAAUUUUCCACAGAAAAAUGAGAAUUAUGAAUUAUAUAGUUCAGGUUCCAAAUCUAAUUUUUAAAAGAAUUCUGAUUCUGCUACACUUUACAAAUGCUUAGGUUGGUUCCUAAUUUGAAGCAGACUUGUUUUAUUUGGUUAAUGCAUUGCAUUUGAACUUGUUUCUAUUUUCUUUGCAUAAAUUUGGACUUUGGGAGAAAAAUGCAAAGUAAUAAGUAGAAUGCACUUGGGGGAAAAAAGGAGGAUUUUUCCCUUCAUGGGUUGGAAAGUAUUUUAAAGGGUUGUUUUCUUGAAAAAACAAGCUCUCUCUUACUUUCUGCAUCUAUGCUAUAAAGAUAACUAUGCUAUAAUAAAUGUAAGGUAGAAAACUUUAAAGAGAAAAUAACAGUGUUCUAAGUGAAAAGCUACUUAGCAUUUUCCCAAACUUACACAUUAUCAACAGAAACACUAAAAAUUAAGAGAAAAGCAGCCAACUAAUUAAAUAGCUAGCCUUAUUUUGGGGGUAUGGGAUAGAAAAUUAAGUGUGAAUAAAAUGAUACUUGGGAAUGUUUCUCCCUCGUACCACAAAGGAUGUUAGUGGUCAGCCUACGAGUUAAUCCUUCCUAGCAUGGCUCUGAGCCUUCAUGCCGAGCAGACGUUAUUCACAUGACGAUUCGAAAAGUCCAUUCAUAUAUCUCGCUACCUGGAUUUGAAUAGAAACCAGACAGCAAUUCUUUAGUUCCAGCCACCAUUCGCCCCACUGGACAAUAGCGAUUUGUUAGCACAGAGUCACAGGCUGUGGGACACAAAGCUUGGAGCUGCAGAAAGAUGGGGGAUUCAGAGAACAGGAAAUUACAGGCUCGAUGCACUCCUGGCAGCUCUGAGAAUAC